GAUUAUUUAUAAAAAUAUCCAUAUGUUUUUUAUCAAUGGAAUGGUUAUCUUAUUUUAACCAUAAUGUUUCUAUUAUGUCAACAAUAGAUAAUCAGAUUAUUGGUGUGCGUUGGCAUAGAAAAGUCAUGACAAAUCUUUUUUUUUAAAUCGCGUGUUAAAGAUUUCUAAAAAGCCAGACUCUAAUCUAACUAUACCAAGCAUAAGAAUUUUCUGCCUUACUCUCGCUUCCAUGCAUCGUGGUGCUUGGUCUCCCUCUUCUCCCCUUGCAUUCUGCCUUCACAUCAUGAGGUUAUAUGACUGCUGUUGAAGAUCUUCAUAAUACAAAUACUUGACCACUCGCUGACCACUCGCUGAUCGCCUGGUUGAGGUUACGUUAAUUUUCGCCUGUAACUGAAAACAAUGCCAAUCUGAAGACACGCUUCUUUUAUGUUCUCUUCCAGGGAACUCAUAUUGAGAAGCAGUGAAAUAGCAACCGUUGGUGCUAUCUUCACUUUCAGGUAAUCCCUUCUCUAUGUUCUUUUUUCUCCCUGUUUAUCAUUAUCACCAUUUUUGAACUAGGGUAAGGUCAUGUAUCUUUUAUUUUGAUUUGAGGAAAAGGAUUUGAUUUUGGGAAUUUUCUGUGGUGAUUUGUUGGGUUUCUUUGCUUUGAAUUAUGCCUUUGUUUGCUCUAAUUUUCUAUUAUGAUUUGUUCCUUUUUGUGCGUUUUUCGUUUUAAGAGGAUUACUAAGUUACUUAAAGAUUCAAAUUAGAAAUUUAGUCCUUUAAAAAUAUACUUGACAUGAGAUUAAAAAGAUUUGUGAUAUUUUCAAUAACUAUAACAACUUGAAAAUUAUAUAGAUUUUGUUUUCCACAUUUUGAGAAGCAAACAUUUUUUAGUUAACAAAUUGAAAUCUGAAAAACAGGUCACUACAUGUAAAACAAACAUUUUUAAAAAUAAAUUUUUAUAUUUUUUUUGCUAGUUGUUUUCUGUUUUGUUUUGUGAAUGCACUCUAAUACUGAAUGAUAACCUUAAGAUUAGAUAUAUAUCAUAUCAUUAUUGAUUUAUUUACUUAGUUCAUCUUUUAAAUAAAUGAAAUUAUCGUAUAAAAACCUUUCCCUUUUUAUUGUAUCCUCCAAAAACCCUAUCAAGAGAAUGCCGAGGAGAAAAAAUUGUAGGCAAAAGAGUGAAACAAAGUUUUAAAAUGCAUUGGAUUUUUGUCUUUUGUCGCAUGAACUGAUCGCUGUUGUUUUUUCUGCCUGGGCUCUUUUAUGUUGAUUUAAAAUCUUACUAACAUUUAUAUACACUCUUUAAUUUAUACUUUUCGGAUCAUGUAGACAUCUAAAUUAGUUCAGUGGGUAUUGAAUGAUCAAAGCAAAAACACGUGCUUAGCUUAAUUGAGAUAUUGAAGUUUUAUAAGCAAUAUCUAUUUGUUUUAUUAAGAUGGUAUACCUUUUGUAUGAUCCCAUUAUUUUGAGCUAAGAUUCUCAUAUUAGAGAUUGUCUCCUUCUAAUUAGAUUAUGGAAAAAUACUAAAUUAGCAAUUCAUCGUUUCUAUAUAAUGUAUAUUUUAGACUUUGUUACGUACAUGCCUUAUCCAUUUGGAUGAAGAGCUGUGAUCUCGUAUAUAUCCUUCGUAUUAACAUGCCGAGUUGAUAAUCAGUGUGAUUUACUUCUCAGUUCUCUAAUUAUUACUGGAUGGUGCAUAA